rnacentral:rRNA from 1 species
CAGAGGGGGACUGAGACACGGCCCCCACUCCUACGGGAGGCAGCAGCUAAGAAUAUUGCACAAUGGACGAAAGUCUGAUGCAGCGACACCGCGUGAGGGAUGAAGGUUUUAGGAUUGUAAACCUCUUUUAUUAGGGAAUAGCAAGGAAGGUACCUAAUGAAUAAGCUACGGCUAACUACGUGCCAGCAGCCGCGGUAAUACGUAGGUAGCGAACGUUGUCCGGAAUCACUGGGCGUAAAGGGUCCGUAGGCGGUUUGAUAAGUCUCAUAUGAAAACUUCAAGCUCAACUUGGAGAGGUUGUGAGAUACUGUCAAACUAGAGACUGUUAGAGGUAAGUGGAAUUCCAGGUGUAGUGGUGAAAUGCGUAGAUAUCUGGAGGAACACCAGUGGCGAAAGCGACUUACUGGGACAGUUCUGACGCUAAGGGACGAAAGCGUGGGGAGCGAACCGGAUUAGAUACCCGGGUAGUCCACGCCGUAAACGAUGAUUGCUAGGUUUUCGGGGCAUCGACCCCUCGUGAGCCGAAGUUAACGCGUUAAGCAAUCCGCCUGAGUAGUACGGCCGCAAGGCUAAAACUCAAAGAAAUUGACGGGGGACCGCACAAGCAGCGGAGCGUGUGGUUUAAUUCGAUGGUAAGCGAAGAACCUUACCAGGGUUUGACAUGUAAGUAGUACUGAACCGAAAGGGGAUGGACCCGCAAGGGAGCUUACACAGGUGUUGCAUGGUUGUCGUCAGCUCGUGCCGUGAGGUGUUGGGUUAAGUCCCGCAACGAGCGCAACCCUCUUUGUUAGUUGCACUCUCUAACGAUACUGCCCUUAAAAGGGAGGAAGGUGGGGAUGACGUCAAAUCAUCAUGGCUCUUACACCCUGGGCUACACACACGCUACAAUGGCAAGUACAGACGGUUGCCAACCCGCGAGGGGGAGCUAAUCCGAUAAAACUUGUCUCAGUUGGGAUUAUAGGCUGAAAUUCGCCUAUAUGAACGUGGAGUUGCUAGUAAACGCAGGUCAGCACACUGCGUUGAAUACGUUCCCGGUCCUUGUACACACCGCCCGUCACGUCAUGGAAGUUUGUAACACUUGAAGUCGUUGCGCUAACCCUUUGGGAGGCAGACGCCGAGAGUGGGACGGAUGACUGGGACGAAGUCGUAACAAGGUAGCUGUACCGGAAGGUGCGGCUG